rnacentral:rRNA from 1 species
UACAGAGGGUGCGAGCGUUAAUCGGAAUUAUACUGGGCGUAAAGCGCGCGUAGGCGGCUUUGCAAGUUCGGGUGUGAAAUCCCCAGGCUUAACCUGGGAACUGCAUUCGAGACUGCAUUGCUAGGAGUAUGGGAGAGGGAAUGUGGAAUUUCCGGUGUAGCGGUGAAAUGCGUAGAUAUCGUAAGGAAGACCAGUGGACGAAGGCGGGUCUCUGGACAGUUCCUGACGCUGAGGCACGAAGGCCAGGGGAGCAAACGGG